AUUCUCUGUUUUCUCUGGUGUGUAUAUCUUGCCAAUCCAUAACAGAUCUCCAGUUCUUCCUCUCCCAAGCUAUUACAGUUUCUGUGUAGGUCUAGAAUUAUGAGGUAGUUAUAACUAUGAACGUAUAGAAUCAUACAAUGGUUUGGGUGGAAAGGACCUUAAAGAUCCUCUAGAUCCAACCCUCCUGCCAUGAGUGGGGACACCUUCCACUAGACCAGGUUGCUCAAAGCCUGAUCCAGCCUGGCCUUGAACAAGGGGUAUAUAACCUGUCUUGAUAUACCUGGGAUGGACAACAACCAGUAUAAUUGUUUAACAGUCAGGGUUGGGAUUGAGUUUAGGGAUACCAGGUUCUGAAGUGAUUGAUUUAUUGGUGGAUUUUGCAAGUUUUGUAGGGGUAAGGUGGAAUUGUGUUCUGGUAAGGCAGAGUUAACUCUGGAUGUUGUUGUAAGAUCAGAGUUAUUUUUGGGCUGGGAGCAACAUGGCAUAAAACCUCAUGUUUUGUGAAAUACUGAGGUAUCCUGAGGAAGAAGGGGACAUUAAAGAGAGGUGAGCUGAAAUCAGAUAGGAAAUUGAAAUUAUUUUAGAUUUGCAUGUGUCACUUCAGCUCAAUUUACAUAUUUCCUUUAAACUAAAUUACCACCAUAAGUUAAUGGUAUUUUACAAUUAACAGUCCUUGUGCACUUAACCAACCAUCUGUAAAUGGAUGCAGAGGUCAUAUGCAAGCCACACAAAACACACUGAAUCUCUCCACUCUUGGUGCGGCAGAAGCUUUAGAAUAAUGCUUGUUUUGGACAAAAAAACAUAAUUGAGUUUUUCCUGCAUCCCUUAUGCAAGAGAAAAAUAAAGACAGGUUUGAAAGAAUGAAAUACAAGGCUUAAUAAAAUCCAUGUGGAGACUGAGAAAAAGCUCAGGUAGCUUGCUCCAGGGAUGGAUUUUGCCUGUUCUACAAUGAAUGGUGACUUUUCUACCUCUGCCUUUCUUCCUCUGAAAGAACAGUGCAAUUUCCUUUUUUCUUCCCAUGCUUUGUAGUGUAUAUAAUAUGAUUACAUUUCAUCAUACAAUGAGAUUCCACAUUGUUAUAAUUUCAUUCUGAUGUGGUUUGUUUUUUAAUCACAUCCCUUUACCUUUUCUAAAUCAAUAUCCAAUCACUGUUGCUUCAAGGGAAAAAAUAUCAAUUCAUUAAGACUUGCCUGAAAGAAGAGUAUGAGCUUUAUCUCAGUAAUGUGCAUGACAGUUUAAUUAAUAAUUUAGAUAUUUUUCAUUAUUUUCCACCUCUUAUUCAAUGGAAAUAUCAUUUUGGAGUUGACAUAGAGCAAAGUAGCAGGACUAAACCAGAAAACCCAGUUAUGAAACACUUUUUCCAGGGUUCCUGUCUAAACAGUUAAUUCUCCCAUUCUUGAGAAGGUCAAUCUUACUGCUGCUAACUUGGCAAUCACCAACACAUGUUUUUUUCAUGGCUUGUACCAGUCUUUUUCAGUUCUUGUAUAAGAGAUGUCUCAGUAUUCUGAACUACCACAACUGUUGAAAUAGUGGUGUUUGGCUUUAUCCUCAUCUGUUUUCUGUGCAUAAAUAGAUGUUUUCAGCUAUCCAAUGGGAGAAGGAUUUUUUCCUUCUAUACUCAAAGUGGACCCAGUGUCCUUCAAGUAGUACACAGGUAAGGGAUGGGGGGCAAUGGAUACAAGCUGCAUUAAGAAAAAUUUAAUUGACAUUAGGGAAAAAAAUUGUAGGCAAUCAGAUAUUGGAAGAUGUUGCCUCAAGAGAGUGUGAAAGAUGUUUGAAGACACUCUGAACUCAAUUGGUUAAGGCCCUGAGCUACUUUAUCUAAUGGUAAAGAUUCUCCUGUUGCAUGCUCAGUCCAGAUGACCUCCUUAGGUCCUUUUCAAGUUAAAUUAGUGUAUGAUACUCACCAAGAAGUAAUCAAGAUGCCUGUGCUGACUAUGAACUGACCUUAUCAGGCAGUAUUGCCCCUAUUUCAGUCAGCAAAUUACUUUACCUGAUAAGUGUGCAGCAUUUUCUAAGUGUAGAGCUGUAGCACAGUAAGGCUGUCAAAGUUGAUGUAAGUGGUCCCUAUCUCCUUAGUCAUUGCCAAUAACGUGCAAAUUAGUGUCUUUAUCCUACCACAUCUGUUUUCUGCAACUCACUGGGGAGGGAACUGAUAAGGAUGGUAAUUUUUUUCAGCUGGAUGAAUCUAGUCUGUACUGUCACAUAUUUGUAGGAAUAAACCAGGAAGAUUCAGCUUGAGACUAGUGAAAAAGCUCAGUCCUUCAUCUUAUGAAAAUACCAAAGAAUUCAGUAAAGCCUCCUUGCCAUAGUUUCCCUCUGCUUUAGAAAUUGCCUUUUUCACAUGGAGAUUUUUUAUGUAGCAGUAGAACCCAGGUUAGCAACAGGAAUGAUUCAUGUCUUCUGGUCAUUUUCUGCAAAGUUUAGUUCCAUCUUCUAAAAGACAAGAAAAAUAAGGAGACUGAAGACUUUGUAACAGUCGAGGCCAUUUCACAUAUGUGUUUGCAGAAAUAAAAUUAUAAGGCUUCAGGGAUCAGUCUAACCAAAUAUAAAAUUAUGUGCAUUGGUACAUGUUUCCAUUUAAAACUAGGAAUAAUUUUUAAAAAUGAAACUAGGUGGAAAUAAAAUAGUAAUGGGUUGAUCACUAUAUGCUGUAAAUUCUUGAAGCAUAGCCUAAUGUGUAAGCAACCAUAACCUUUGGGGAAAAGAAAAUAGGGCACUCAAGGCUUUCUUGCCCUUGUCUUAGUUUUGUGGUUUGGCAGUGGGGAGAAGCUGUAGAGAGAAAAUAUUGUAAGCUGAGUCCACGCAUUUAUUUUUAGUUUUAUAUGAGGAAUUUACUAAUGGCAAAAUGUCCUUGAGGUUAGGAAGAGGGGUUUUUUUCCUUGGCACAGAUAAGUUUCUGCAUUCCAAUUUUGUUGUGAUAUGCUCUUUCCAAUUAAUAAUAAAGCAUUUUGAGAGGAAACAAGGAAAAGCAAUGAGACUGGGGAGGCCAAGUUAUUAACCCAGUGUUAUUUUGCCCUUAUAAGCAACAAUUAUAGUCUAGAGCACACAGGUGCCAUUAAGUUUAUCCCUUAGACCAGAGCCAAUUCCUUUCUCCUACAGAUUUACUCUCAUAUAUACUCUGUGAGUUCAACUUAGUUCAAAAUCCAAAAACUUGCAGGAAAGUGCUGACAGGAUGACCAGGGAAUGGAGAAUCACUUUUAGAACAAGUUAAAAGAAACAGGCUUGUUCAGGCAGCAAGAGAAGGUCUGACAGCAGAGUAGAAAUAUAUCCAGGGUAAAAGCUAGGACUCAGGAGUUAAAAACAAAUGGUAAAAGAUGAGUCAGAUGUAUUCAUUUUUCCAUGGGUAAAGCUAGAAUUAGACUCUAGGAGAAGGUUCCUGGCCUUCAGAAGGGCAUAGGCUUUGGGAGGAAUUUGCUGAAGGUGAAAUAGCUUGGUUGACUCCAUUAGAAGACACUGAUCUUGAUUCAUAUCCAGGGGAUAUUAAUGGAUUCUUAAUCCAUAUCCAGGGGAACUACAGAUGGGGUAUGGAGCUAUGUGUGGCUUUUCUUACCUCUCUCCAGAAUCUUUUGCAGUUUAAAGCAGAUUCAGUCACUAUGAGAGGUUUUUCUUGCCUUUGAUACACAGAUGAUUAUUUGUCCUGAGGAGAAUGUGAUUUAAGCCCUAAAAUGCCCUUCACAGGUGAUACAAAAUGCAAAAUUGUAUUUUGUUUUGACAGAAAGCUUUUCAGGAGGUUCAUUUGACUAAAUCAGUCAUUAUCUCUAGACCUAAGAUAAUUUCCUAUUUUUUUCCUGAAAAUUCCAAAUUGCUUUUAAAGUAUUUUAACAAUAUAGCGCGAAUACUAUUUGUCAGUCUCAUUGAGACUGAGUUUGUGCAAGUUUCUGAGUUUGUAAUUUUUGUUAUCCUCUUUUCCUUCUUGUUUCCUGAUCUUUCAAUGGGAGAGUAUGUUUCCCUGGAUGUACUAUUAGAAUGACUUCUUCUACUUUUAAGCUGAUUUUGAAUUGAUGAAAGUGGUCAUAUCAUUGUUUCUCUUGCAGUAGCUUUUCCUGGAAUGUAGCUUGCUACCUUUUGAUUAAUUUCUUUAUCUCCUGGGAUGCAAAUAUGCAUUUGUGAACUUUGUAUUGAAACCCUGUCACGAACUUGAUCUUUCUUCUGAUUUCUAAUCCUUAAUUAAGCAUAUUGACAUAUUGUUAGUAGGGAUGAUAGCCUCCUGUGGAAUAGCCAGCAACAGCACUGAUUCUGCUGUUAUAUUUAUUUAUGAGACAUCACAGUACAUGGGAUUAUCACUUUGUUCAUUGAAAUCUUUGUAAGUCAGGAGGAAUUGAUCUCUUUCUAUGCAGAGAAAUCGUACUAUUCCCAUUCUGAUUCAGAGAGAAUCUGGCUCAGAAGUAGGUAGGGUUGACCUCAAAAGUUUGGAGAAAAUUAGUAGGUGAACUUGGUAUGUUUUUUAGAGGUCUUCAAGAGAAAUGAAACACACCAGGGCAGAUUCUCAGCUGGUGUAAAUUGCCAUCACUCCACUAAGGUGGAUAUAGCCAAAGCAGUUUAACCAACUGACAGUCCCUCAGGUGUGCAUUUCUUUCUUGUUUUGCUGCUGGUUUUGAGAUGAGAGGACUCCAAGUGAACCUUUGGACCAAAUUAUUCUUUUGAGGCUGGAGCAGGUCACAGAUAAAAUAAGAGUACAGAUCAAAUCUAAGCUUUUUCCACAUGAGUUAAACCCUAAUAAUGGCUUCAUGCAUUCUCAGAAUUUGAUUCCCUGCAGCCUUUCUCCUGCUUCUGCCUGACCCUGAUCUGGAAUUAAAUUGUUAUCAGAAUCACUGUAGCAUAUGUUGUAUUACUGUGUAUAUCAAAUAAAAGUUGGAAACUUGGCAUAUUCAAGACUGGGAAUAAUCUUGUCUACCACAGAGCACUUUCUGAGAGCCAGCAGUUCAUCCAGUGGAAGCACCAGCAUCUCCCAAAUGCUCCUGCAAUCAGGACUGCAUCUUAAUAUUAAUAAAGCAGGGAAGAAUUAAGGCAACAUAUGCUGUAACUGUGCAGUCUGCAAGUGAGCUAAUGCCUUCUAAGAGUCCUGAUCAGAUUUCCUGAUAAAGGAGCAAUGCUGUGCUUUGUCAGGUGACUGCCUCCUCAUUAUUCAACAUGGCAUUGUGGGGUUUGUGGUAUACUUUGUUUUCUUUGAAACAUAAAGAUGGGUAUUUUUUUUUCAUAAAAGUGAAGCCACCAAAACCAAGCAUAAUUAUUUUUGUCUUUGCUGGAAAACAUUUUAAAAAUGAUGCUGCAAACCCCUCAAAUGUAAGUCUUAAUUAUAUGGAUUCUGUCAAAACUGUUCUAUUUGCCAAAAAAAAAAAAAAAAGGUGACUUUUGGUUAAAUUAAAUUAGCUUUUACAAACAUUUUUUUAAAAGUUCAUACUUUAAUGUUUUUUCAUGUAAAUAAUUUAUAAAACUUAAAUACGUACCUGACUUAAUACCCUGUUUCUCCACUUGGUGUGAGAAAUGUUUCAGUGAGUGCAGUUCUCUAUUUGCAGCAGGGCAGUCUGAACCUCAGAUGUGUUGGUGAGCUGCUUCCUUCUGGUAAUUGCAUUUUGUAGGGGCAGGGCAGCUCUGUGUACAAACCCCACAACAGGUAAAGCCAAAAUAUCAUUCAAGAGCAUGUGACAACAUGAUUUCACCAGGUCCUGCUGAAUUUUGGGAGGAAAGAUGUUGAAAUUCCAGGUUGGUCCUUAAAGGCCCAAACCCGUCUAUGCCCCAUCUCCCUUCCUUGAUCACAUGCACAUGACAGGUGUGUUCAGUAGCAUAAUGAAGUUAAAUGUUUUUAAUUUUAGCCACAGUUCAGUGGUGGGUUUUGCCCCAGGGACACAGAGUCUAUGUGUGUGUACAUGCUUGUUUCCUGCUGGGUCUGAUAGCAGGACAGGGCUUAGUUCCUUUCCUGCUCAAGCAGAGAAAUUACUCUGUAAAAUUAAUCAGACAGUUUUUAUUGUGAGAUUAAUGUAUGAAUUAACUAUUCAGUGUGAUCUGUUUUUUAGUAAAUGCAUUUAUUUACCUUUAUUUCUGUUUUUUAUACUCUUCUAUUAGAAUAUAAUAUUUUAUUAGAAGUAUUUACUCUAUGUAUUAAAGUACUCUUCUGUUAAAGUGAGAAGCUAUGCAGUAUAGCCAUCCAAUAAUAGCUAUUAAUUAUUCUGUAAAGUAAAGCUAUGGGCAGGAAUGUUGUUUGCGGACAUGUGGUGAGAAUGUUAUAAGAAAUAGAAACUUUGUGUUAUACAGUGAAGUAAGGCUUUUUUUCCUCUAUAAAUUGGGUUUUGAAAAAAUUUCCUUGGGGUUUGGUUUAGUUUAGAACAGAUAAUUGUAGAAAUAUAAUUUUUAAGGUAUUCUACUUUAAUAUUAAUAAAUUGAUACAAUGCUGGUGUAACCAUUCAUUUUUCACAAGUUAACUUUGACAUCAGUGAAAGAAAAGCUUCUUUAUUCUUUCUUUGUAAUUACAGUGAUCACACUAUUUUAUCUUUCCUGUAUUGUGAGCGUUUAAGCACUGAACAGCUUGUUUCAGCCUUUGAAAAUUCAAGCCUUAAUGAAAUAUUUAAGUACAAUCACUUUUAGUUCUUGCUGAAUAGAAAAUAAUUAAAGUGCAGAACAAAACCAUAUUUUCCCUCCGACUUCCUAGUAAUUAGUCUUUACCUUCCUUUUGAACCACCAAUGUUCUGCCUCUUUGUUCUUAGAAUUUAACAACAUUUUCAGUGCUUUGCUAAAAAUUGCAAAUUGACACAGGCCUAGUUUCUUCAUAGUUUUUGCAUUUUAGGAAUAUAGCAUUAAGGAAUAAUUUAACAUGCUUUUCUCCUUUGUAAACCAUGCAAUUUAAACUACAACAGAGGUUUUCUUCUGUUAACACUUGAAUAUGCUUGUAUUUUAUGUUGAAAUCAAGAGGCUGUCUUCAUGAGGGCUGAGCACUAGAAGUUUUGUGAUGUACACUAGUGGAAAGGUUUAUAUACUGAAGUGAAUAAAGAACCUGGAGAUCAGACAGAAAUCUGUGGAUUUAUAGGAUAAAAUCUUAGGAAAACUGCAUACAUCCAAACAUCUGAAAAGCAAACUUUCUCAGAUUCUGUUUCUUUGACCUAGUUUGUCCUUGGAUAUUUAGAUACAAAUCCACCUCCCAAAGUCAGCAUAAGGCAAAAUUAAAUUGAGUGGGAACAGACUGAGCAGUCAGAAAUAUGAAAUUUGCUCUGAGAUAAAGUAUCCUCAUAGGAGUGCUCCUUCCUUGGGCUAUGGACACUGUAAAUUUACCUGGCAAUGCCAGCUGACUGAAAUGGUCCCUUGGUAUUUCUUCUGGAGGCUUCCCUUGUGGCUUAGGAGCUCAGCUUAGGCUUCAUUAAAUGCCCUGACACAGAAGGAUAAGAGCUGAUCCAUGCUUUGAUCAACGCUGAUCAGUGUUGGCAUUAAUCCACAGGCACUUCUAACAAAAAAAGUUCUAUUUUCUCUGAUGCUGUUCUGACUCAUUACAGUUAAUGGCCUUUCCUGAGAAAUGCAGCAGCAUUUAUUAAGAAAUGAGGUGAGGACUCGGAAAUGAACCAGAGGAGGGCUGGCUAUGCUUUGAAACUUCUGUAGUAUUUACAUAGUUACACACGCACGCAGCCUGUCUUGUGCUCUGGGUGAAUUUAUUUUUAAAAACUCUCCUAUGCAGCUGCUUCUCUGUCCUUCAGCACAGAGUGGGUGUUCUGGCCUCACUCUGCAGCAGAUCACACAGUGAUUGGCUAAAUGCCAUGGCAGACCAAGGACUUGAAGCUGAGUUUGUGCUCCUCCAGCCUGGAGAAGAGGAGAAGGAGAGGAGACCUCAUUGCAGACUGCAAUCUCCUUGAGGGGAAGAGGAGGGGCAGGUGCUGAUCUCUGCUCUGUGAGAAGAGUGACUUACUGGACCCAAGGGACUGGUGGCCUGCACAUGUGUCAGGGGAGGUUUAAGUUGGAUAUUAGUAAAAUGUUUAUGUUGGAUAUUAGUAAAUGGUUCUUCACCAAGAGGGUGAUUGGGCAAUGAAACUGGCUCCCUGUGAAAUGGUCACAGACCAAGCCUUGACAGAGACAAGAAGCAUUUGGUCAAUGCUGUCAGGCACAUGGUGUGAUGCUUGGGGAUGGUGCUGUGCAGGGUAGGGAGGUGGACUUGAUGGUCAUUGUGGGUCCCUUCUAACUCAGCACAUUCUGUGAUUCUGUCAUCUGUAUGGCAAAUAUCAAUGUACUUUGCUCAAAGUUUGAGCCAGGGGCACUGGAGAAACUGAGAAAUCGCUAUGAUAACUGUGUCCCACUGGAGGGCUCCCCAGCACUUGCAGUAAUCCUCCUCUUUAAUGGCUAUCUCAGUUCUAGGGCUGUCUCUUCUCUGCAGUGCAGUGCAUUGCAGAGCUGCUCCCCUGCAGAAGAAAUGGGUUUAGAGAUGGGUAUGUGUGUGCAUUCAAGACUCAGUCCUGCACUCUAUGGGUAUUUUUAAUCACUGCCCUCAGUAUUGGUAUCAAGAAACUGAUGCGCUAAAUCACCUCAGAAUUUAGUAUUACUCUUAUUUUGAAUUUUGUUUUGAUUCCUCAGUGAGGUUGGCUAAAUAUCUUCACUGCUUCUUAACUGAUUACAGUUUUAGAAUUGUAAGGGCAGUUAUUUUGGAAUUGUUCCCUUUAUUGUUCUUCAAUUUUCAAUAGAAGCCUUCAGUACAAUCCAAAUACUUAGAAGUACUCCAAAGGGAAAGUGGCUACACAGCUACACUUGAAGUUGACUGCUUUAUUCUUUCUCAGCUGUUUUGCUUUAAUUUCAUUUGAAGUUAAAAUAAAAUAAUUGUUCAAUUUAAUUUAUGAACAGUUUUUAAUUUUCUGUUGAGAUUUCAGGUGGUUGUUGAGUCUUGAGAGUCAAGUGCUUUAGAAGGAUACUAUUACUAGAAAGCUUCAGUGAUCUCAGAGAAAAGUGUAUGAAAGUGAGUUAGUGAUCUGUUUUGUGUGUAGCAAUGCAAUAGCUUUCUACAGUUCUCCAUUUCAUCUGAAAUGAGUUAGAUGAGGCAGGAUGUGUUGGGAAAAAAAUCAUUAAUUAUAAAUGAACUUUUGUGAUUAUUGUAACAGAUGCUCUUAAAAGUGUUAAUUAUUGUCAAUUUAACGUCUUUACAUUUUUUCAGACUGCACUUUAUACUAGCUUACCUUGAAAUUUAGCUGAUGUGCCUGGUUACUUUUGGACUCAUGAUUGUCUUUUUCCUGCAUCAGCUGCAGUGUUUCAAAAGUCUCAAAUUUUUAGUUGGAUGCAAAAAUUCACUUCUUCAAGGAAGUUCUUAGGUCAUCUUUGCUCUUGUCUUUUAGAGAUCACCUGAGCCUGUCUUACUGACUGUUAGAUGAUGGAUGAGAGACUUCUGGGGCUGUUGACUCUAAAUCAUGAUUCUAUCCCAUAGAAGUUCACAACUAUGAUUUGCCUGCUGAAUCUGUUGCCUGUUGUCUCUGAACAUCUCAUGAUACCAUUCUUUAGAGGGACAGUAGGACAUCUUCUUUGGGAUCACACAGGCAGUAAGCACACAGCUGGAAGUUGAACAUUUCUUGCUCCCAGCCCUAUGUUACAUUCUUGUCCCUGCUGGCAAGAGUGCCAUGUAUAUACAUAAGUAGAGAAAUCCUGGUAAGCUAUUUAAAUCUAAUUAUCUGUGACUUUUAAUCUUACAUAUAUUUCUCUGAAAUUAACAAGGUAUUCAAAAAUUUGCAUUCUUUUAUAAAGCUGUUUGUUCUUUAUAUGUCUAAAUUUCUCCUUUUUUGUUUUUGAAUAAGCUUGAUUAAAAUGUUGAUUAUGUCAAGAAACAUUUCUGCAUUUUCUAGUUAUAUAUCAAGUGAUGAGACUACUGAAAGAGUUUCUCUGCAAAAGUGAAAAUAUGAGGUUUUUUUGAAUUUUUUUUCCAUGGUUAUUAAAAAUUAAGCAAAACAUACAUCUGUUUUUAUCCAUGGUUUAUUACUCAUCUUUUAAUGAGAGAAUUAAGAUAAUAAUUCUUGAAAUUUUUAAAGAUCUACCUAGAGGGAAUGCUUGAAUCAUGCGUGUUUUAUAUGGAGUGCUUCAUGGGUCCUUCUGGUUUUAUUCGUAUGAGUUAUAAUAUGGGAACUGAAGUGUGACCCUAUCCAAAGCUUGUGGGUUUUUGGAUCUCCAUUUACAUCUUAGGACCGUUGGUUUUACCUGAAGAAUGUUGUUGCUUCUUCAGAGGACAUAGAAAUAGAUGCUUAGAUGAGUUCAGCCUAUGUGUGCAGGCAGAAUCUGACCAUGUGGAUAAAUAUGUCAAAGUACACUUGCUCCUACCCUGUAAUUCUUAACUGGGGAUGAAUGAAAAUUACUCUGAUGGAUGACUGAUCAUGUUUCUCUGACUAGAUUGUAUCUUGUUCACCAACAUUUUAGCUCUUAAUAGGGUCUGAUAUUGUAAAAAAAAAAAAUCUUAUUGGAGUUUGAUUUUAUAGGAAGACAUGGUUACAUCUCCAUUUAUUUUUUGACAUUGUUAAAGCAGAGAGUUGGUCCAACUGUGACUCUAUCAGCUGUGAACAGUGCUCUUUGCCUUUGGCCAAAUUUUAGUCUCCUAAUGUUUUCGCUUUGCCUGGAGUGAGUCACUGUGACAAACAAAUCCCUGAAAAUAAGAACAUAUAAUGAAAAAGCUGACAAGACCCUUAACAAUAGCAGAGCCAUGGGCUUUGGUAUAAACAACAUAAAAACAGAGUGAGUUUGAUUGUCAUCCUGGAAUUUCCCUCUUUUGUUGUAUUUCUUGUCCAAUUGCCUGCAUGACCAUUUCACAGCAGUACCUCCUGGCAUAUUCCAAAAGCUGUGGUUAUUCAUUGACAGGCUCUUGCCAUAACCCAGCAAUAAAAUGUACAUUGGGAUGGUAACUGUUCUUUCCUUUAAAAUAGAGUAAAUAUAGAAAACCAAAGCUGGCUAUGGGAUAAAGUAGUAGUUAAAUCAAGCCUAAACAACUAGAUCUCUGUGAUGUGUUGGGAUAUUGGGGCUUGUUGGCAUGGGAGGCUGUGAGAAUGCCUAGCUGUGUGCUAGUGAGACACCGUGUGAUGCUUAAAGAUAAACACAAUCCCUUCUCCUCUUCAUCUCCAUGUCUUAUUUGAAAUGAAAAGACGCUGGAUGCAAUGUCCGUGGUACAACUCAAAGACAGUCUUAGUCCCCAAACA